GCGGAUGGCUGGAUGGCCGCGGGUGGCAACACCCGAGGAAAGUCCGGACUCCACAAGGCAUGGUGCCGGGUAACGCCCGGCGGGGGAAACCCUAGGGAAAGCGCCACAGAAAACAAACCGCCCCGGACGUGAUCCGGGGUCAGGGUGAAACGGUGGGGUAAGAGCCCACCGCACGCGUGGCAACACGGGUGGCACGGCAAGCCCCACCAGGAGCAAUGCCAAAUAGGGGCCCCGCGCGGGCAGGUGCCGCAAGGCAUACCGCCGCAAGGAUGCCUGAACCCGAGGGGCCCGGGUUGGCAGCUAGAGGGCGGUUGGCAACAGCCGCUCAAGAUGAAUGGUCAUCCAGUCGGGGAAACCCGAUGGACAGAAUCCGGCUUACAGGCCAUCCGCGCAU
rnacentral:RNase_P_RNA from 1 species